CCUACGGGUGGCAGCAGUGGGGGAUAUUGCACAAUGGGGGAAACCCUGAUGCAGCGACGCCGCGUGGGGGAAGAAGCGCCUCGGCGCGUAAGCCCUGUCAGCGGGAGAGAAAAUGACGGUACCUGAAGAAGAAGCCCCGGCUAACUACGUGCCAGCGGCCGCGUUAAUACGUAGGGGGCAAGCGUUAUCCGGAUUUACGUGGUGUAAAGGGGGCGCAGACGGCGUUGCAAGCCAGGAGUGAAAGCCCGGGGCCCAACCCCGGGACUGCCCUUGGAACUGGGGGGCUGGAGUGCAGGAGGGGAAGGCGGAAUGCCUGGUGUAGCGGUGACAUGCGUAGAUAUCAGGCGGAACACCGGUGGCGAAGGCGGCCUGCUGGACUGCAACUGACGUUGAGGCCCGAAAGCGUGGGGAGCAAACAGGAGUAGAUACCCCUGUAGUC
rnacentral:rRNA from 1 species